UUGAAAAAAUAAGGGAAAAAAUUCUGUAUUCAGUGAAAGUGAGACUGGUUAUUCAAAGAGGGAAAACUUGGGGUACCUGGGUGGCUCAGUCUGUUGAGCAUCCCGCUCCUGACCUCUGCGCAAGUCAUAAUCCCAGAGUUGUGGGAUUGAGCCCCGUGUCAGGCUCCAAGUGGAGCCUGCUUGAGAUUCUCUCUCUGUGUGUCUCUCUGUGUCUCUCUCUCCCCCCCUCCCCCGCUUGUGCUCUCUCUCUCUCUCUCUCUCAAACAAAAUUUUAAAAAAAACAAAGAGGGGAAAACGUAGGACAAAAUCUGAAGGAAUGCGAAAGGGAAAAUUGCAGAAGGUUUGCGAGAAGGGAAUCUUUCGAAAGAAAUGCUAUGCAUGGUCGGGGCCGAGAUUCUGGAGUUUCGCAUGUAAGAAACAAGUUUAUGAGGGCAGCGAUCGACCCCCGGGGAAGAGAAGGGGGAGGCAGAGAACGAUGUCAGGCAGAAGUUGAGCAGUGACACGUCAACGGAAGCCUUAGCCGACUCUCUGAGCAGUCCCGAAAGUUGGACUGCCCUUCGGAAGCAUCCAAACUUAGGUGAAAGGGGCUGGCUCUUCGUAAGCGUCUUUGGAUGUGACCAGCUGGGCAGCGGGCAAUGCCCUUGGCAAGGCCGCUGCCUACAGUCACGGCGAUCCCUGAUGAUGUCUGAGCGUCGAAGGCUGUAGGCAGCAUUGCUAUGGCUGGGAGACCUGGGUUCCUGCCGGAGAUUCUGGUCAGCACAUCCCAACACCCGUCACAAGGACUCAGACCCAUGCAGUGCCCUGGAUGUCCUUGUCCAAAUAAGUAUGUAUCAACGUGGGAGGUGACACGGAGGAAGAAAGAAGGGCCUGCAUAUCUUUUUAAAAAUUCAUCUUGUUGCAACGAAUGAGUUUUAAUAUCCAAAGUACAGCGGUAUAAGACUGGAAUUUGGGUGUUCUCGCUGUUCAUGUGACAGAGGCUUCUUAGAUGAUGGGUCCAAAUUAUCAACAGAGGUUUUUCUUUAUCUUUAAUCUGCCUAGUAAAACAAAGUUUCUAUGUCUUGUCUUUGUUAGGUCUUUGCUUACUUAAGAAAGUUGAAUCUGCUCAGUGUUAAGAGAGCUAAGGUUUGCUCACAGCUCCAUUUACCUUGCUGUCUGCAUUUACCUUGAGAAUCUCUUCUUGCCAUCCUGGCUAAAUAAGUAUCCUGUUUUGUAAUGAUCUGUAAUCCUAUUUAGGCACGUGUUUUGAAACCUUCUGGUAUUUCACCAACUUCCAAAACCCAGCUUGGGAAUGGAAGUCUUUUUGACGAAUUAGGCUUAUUCCCUGGUGUGUCAAAUGACAUGGGAGGCAUCAUCAAAUAAGCGAUGAGGAACCUUCUUAGGCUUUGUUGUAUGGGUGAUCGCUCUAAGUGUCCUAGAGAUUUUAUAAGAUUCCUAAGGUUUUCAUAUGUCCUGGUAUAGCGUCAUCGCUUGUAAUCCUAACUACUGAAGUAUCGUGUGUCACAGAAUCUCCCUGCCAGCUGCACUGCAUUGACAAAUACAGCUCUCUGAUCCCUUCAGGAUCAUAAAGCUAAGCUUAGUAAGAAUUCCCGGAACUAAUGGGGAAACUGCUUUCAAACAGACACUUGUGUAAACAUUGCUGGUCCUCUAAUGUUUGCUCUUCUAAAUUUCAGUCUGCCCAUGACAUUUGGCAGAUGUUUGGUAAGUAAUUUCUUCAUAAACAGAUAGGAAACAUUUAUCCCUUUCUCCCUACCUGGUACCACCAGAAUUCAAAACUCUCAGGGAGUAUUCUCGUACUUUCACGGCAGUGUAUUUAUUUGCAGAAGGUCGAUACGAAUCCGUUCUCCUUGCAACAGGACGCCACUGGAAACAUUGGCCGUGUUGCCAAGGCUUUGACUGGAAUGUCAUAGUUGAGGGAGCUAUGCCUAGACUCAGCUACAAUCAGAGAGCUUUAAGGAGCUAAUUAAGGUUGACUUUGCCGAGCCAAUGAAGCCCCUUGGAAAACUUGCCUCGUACCUUGCUUACAAAGUUUCCAGCAGCCCUACCAGGUGAAUAAGGAAGGUCGUCACUUCCUGGCAGGUGCAGGAACCUCAGGGUAUUUGGGGGAUCUCGAGAAGAGAGGGAGCCACCCACACCUAUAGGUAUGGCAGGCAAAGGCUGAUGGCCAGUAUUUGGCUUGGCUUCUUUAGCCUGACAAGGCUGUUAAAAGUUCAAUCUGACAUUCCUUACGAAAAGUUCCAGCGAAGCAGAUUGAACAACCAAACACCUGUAUGACCAAUCACCGUUGUGAUGGCGCUUGUGUAAACAGGCCCAGCUUCAACUGGACAAUUUCACAAACAAAUGUGUCCUAAUCUGGCUAUCUUUGGUGGAGAUGAGGGUGGUUUCAGACAGAGCGAUUGUUCCAGUAACACACCUGUGAAAAUGUAAGAUCAUAGUUCCGAUGAACCGUCUUGGAGGGUUCGUUGGUUGUCUAUACACCUGGGCUGGGUCCUGAAUUCUUCUGGUUUCCUUGAAUAUCUGACCCUGACUCUCCAAACUAAGGUUUCCAGUUUUCUCCCACUGUGUUGACUGGAAGCACUGAGAGCGAACACUGCUUUUCCCUGAAGCCCCGCAAACCGAAGCCAGACCACCCGAGGUACACGUGAGAGAAAAGUGGCCCAGUGAUCUAAGGGCCACUCAGAAAGAUCACCAGAGACACACGGAUAGCUGAACAAGCUGAUCGCAGCCAUCCCGACUGGACAAGCUGCCAUCGGAGCAUCCAGACGUGGACGUGUUCACGGAUGGGGACAGUGUCACGGGUCAAAGACAAGGAAGAGCUGGGUGCAGUGGUGACCCAUCAGCUAUCGUCCGCUGCGGAAGACGCCACAAAGUGGACCGACUGCCCAAGGGAACCAUGCUGGCAGCCCGUCAAAGACUCCAAGACCCUCUGGAAGAGCUUCCGUGCCAAAGAUAGACUUAACUACAUAUCAACCCCAACGUCCCUUGGAGGACCAAAGAGGAGUUAAGUGAGGAGUGGGGGUUUGGACACCGCGCUGGCAUUGACACCGGCUGGAAAUAGAAUGAAUCCUUACCCUAGAGCAUCUGAUGAAAGAAAUAAUUAGCCACAUUCCUCGAAGCACCCGUUAUGGGAAAGAUGCCACUCUCCAGUGGAUCCAGAAGUAUACUGCGGGCUCCGAUUUCAGCGAAAUGCUACAAAAGGCAACGCUUGUGCGAAAAACAAUCCUAAGACUGGGUGCCCACAAGUUCUCAAGGGUGUACAACUGAGACGCCCCAAACCUGGGGAAGACCGGCACACAGCCUUUCCCAGAAUGCAAAGAACAAUGGGAAAUUCUCGGGGUUUGCUUGUAUCUGCAGACACCUGUAUCAACGGGGUUGAGGUUCCUCCCUGCUGUUCAGAGAAGGCCUCGGGAGUGGUCAAAAUGCUUUGAAGCGAGAUCAUUUCUAGGCUUGGAGUGCCGCUAAUAAUUCAGCGUGACAAUGGAGUGACAACCACAGCGUCCAAGGCCUUGGGCAUUCAGUGGAAAUCACACGCUUCCUGGAGACACCGAGAGAGUGGAAAAAGGGAAAAAAAAGAACUUUGGCAAAGCUCUGCCAAGAAACCCACUUCACUUGGGAACAACCUGUGCCAUCUGCCCUGCUUUGGGAAAGAGUGGUCCCUAGAAGAGGGCUUGGUUUCAGCCCCUGUGGAAUGUUAUAUGGAAGACUUUCUAUGUUCUUUUCGUGACCUAGGAGUUGCUGGCGGGGCUCCCGCCAGCGAUUUGGAUACUAUCAGGUACAUCCAGGGCCUGAGUUUGCUUCCGGCAGGCUGAUAUACCUCACAGAUGUGUCUUCACGCUGCCUGAGUCCCUUGGUGACAUCCAAAGGUGUCACUAAAGAUGUCACUAAAGACCUGAAGAGCGGGAGCCCAGAGGACCAGCUCCAGCCUCACUGGACAGCAGGAAGUAACGGCCGCGGCCGGGUCGUGGUCCCAAUACCCACAAGAAUGAGGACGGAUCAAAAGACCCUGGGGACUGAAAAGGGUAACCAAAGGGUUAGCAGCCGCAACUUUGUACCCUGACCUUUUUCCUUCGCCACUAAGUACCCCUGACUCUCCUCCUCUAGGGAGGUGGAUGUGAGGCUCGCCCUCCUGCCUUGCAAGAAUAAACUCUUGCUUUGCUUUAUA